rnacentral:rRNA from 1 species
GACGAACGCUGGCGGCGUGCUUAACACAUGCAAGUCGAACGGCAAGGCACUGCGUUCGUGGUCUUCCCGAGUGGCGAACGGGUGCGGAACACGUGAGUAACCUGCCCUUGAUUUUGGGAUAACUUCAGGAAACUGGGGCUAAUACAGGACAGGAUAUCCUCUUGCAUUGUAGGGGUUGGAAAGUUUCGGCGGGUGGGGAUGGACGCGCGGCUGACGAGCUUGUUGGUUGGGUAGUUGCUUGCCAAGUGUUUGACUGAUAGGCGGCCUGAGAGCGUGACCGGCGACCAUGGGACUGAGGGACGGCGCAGUCUCCAACGUGAGGCAGCAGUGGCAAAUCUUGCACAAUGGGCGGAAGCCUGUUGCAGCGACGCCGCGUGCGGGAUGACGGCCUGUGGGUAGUGAACCGCUUUCGCCUGUGACGACGCGUUAGUGACGGUACUGGGUGAAGAAGCACCGGCUAACUACGUG